ACCUCAUGAUUUGGGCACUGGGCUAGCUUUCCCUUAAACCUCUCCCACGCUUCAAACAAUAGUUCCCCAUUCAAUUAUCAGAAGUUUGCAAUCUCAUCCCGCUUUUGAAGCA
rfam:Capsicum annuum cultivar Zunla-1 chromosome 2, whole genome shotgun sequence